rnacentral:rRNA from 1 species
GAUGAACGCUGGCGGCGUGCCUAACACAUGCAAGUCGAGCGAUUUACUUCGGUAAAGAGCGGCGGACGGGUGAGUAACGCGUGGGUAACCUGCCCUGUACACACGGAUAACAUACCGAAAGGUAUGCUAAUACGGGAUAAUAUGCUUUAGUCGCAUGGCUGAAGUAUCAAAGCUCCGGCGGUACAGGAUGGACCCGGGUCUGAUUAGCUAGUUGGUAAGGUAACGGCUUACCAAGGCGACGAUCAGUAGCCGACCUGAGAGGGUGAUCGGCCACAUUGGAACUGAGACACGGUCCAAACUCCUCCGGGAGGCAGCAGUGGGGAAUAUUGCACAAUGGGCGAAAGCCUGAUGCAGCAACGCCGCGUGAGCGAUGAAGGCCUUCGGGUCGUAAAGCUCUGUCCUCAAGGAAGAUAAUGACGGUACUUGAGGAGGAAGCCCCGGCUAACUACGUGCCAGCAGCCGCGGUAA